rnacentral:rRNA from 1 species
AGAGUUUGAUCAUGGCUCAGAGCGAACGUUAGCGGCGGGCCUAACACAUGCAAGUCGAACGAGAAUGUAGGCUUCGGUCUACUAGUAAAGUGGCGGACGGGUGCGUAACACGUGGGUAAUCUACCUUCCGGCGGGGGACAACAGUCCGAAAGGAUUGCUAAUACCGCAUACGUCAGCGGCGCCUACGGGCGCUGUUGGGAAAGACGGCCUCUCCUUGGAAGCUGUCACCGGAAGAUGAGCCCGCGUCCCAUCAGCUAGUUGGUGAGGUAACGGCUCACCAAGGCUUAGACGGGUAGCUGGUCUGAGAGGAUGAUCAGCCACACUGGGACUGCGACACGGCCCAGACUCCUACGGGAGGCAGCAGUGGGGAAUAUUGGGCAAUGGGCGAAAGCCUGACCCAGCCACGCCGCGUGAGUGAUGAAGGCCUUCGGGUCGUAAAGCUCUGUGGGGAGGGACGAACAAACUCUGGGCUAAUCACCAGGGUCCUGACGGUACCUCCUUAGCAAGCACCGGCUAACCCUGUGCCAGCAGCCGCGGUAAUACAGGGGGUGCAAACGUUGCUCGGAAUCAUUGGGCGUAAAGCGCACGUAGGCGGUCUGUUAUGUCGGAUGUGAAAGCCCUCGGCUUAACUGAGGAAGUGCAUCCGAAACUGGCAGGCUAGAGUACUAAAGAGGGUCGCGGAAUUCCCGGUGUAGAGGUGAAAUUCGUAGAUAUCGGGAGGAACACCGGUGGCGAAGGCGGCGACCUGGGUAGAUACUGACGCUGAGGUGCGAAAGCGUGGGGAGCAAACAGGAUUAGAUACCCUAGUAGUCC